rnacentral:rRNA from 1 species
AGCGAACGCUGGCGGAAUGCCUAGCACAUGCAAGUCGCGCGGUUCGGUUUCGGCCGGGCAGCGGCGGACGGGUGCGCAACGCGUAGGAACGUGCCCUGGGGUGGGGGACAACGCCGGGAAACUGGCGCUAAUACCGCAUGGGGGCCGAGGCCCAAAGCCUUCGGGCGCCCUGGGAGCGGCCUGCGUCCGAUUAGCUUGUUGGGGGGUAACGGCCCACCAAGGCGACGAUCGGUAGCUGGUCUGAGAGGAUGAUCAGCCACACUGGGACUGAGACACGGCCCAGACUCCUACGGGAGGCAGCAGUGGGGAAUAUUGGACAAUGGGCGCAAGCCUGAUCCAGCAAUUCCGCGUGGGUGAAGAA